ensembl:lncRNA
GUCUCCUGACUGAGCCUCAGAUACAACAGGGAGGGUUGUCUCCUGACUGAGCCUCAGAUACAACAGGGAGGGUUGUCUCCUGACUGAGCCUCAGAUACAACAGGGAGAAAUCACCACCCACAACCAGAAUGUCAUGCCUAUAGCUCAGAGGCCAGUCUCUCAAUGACCUCUCAGUAAUAAUGUCAUCUUCUAUAGUUUCUGGCAGCGUGAGACGAGGUCCAGGCCUCGACGAACACAGACCUCCUCCACCUUCAGAUAAAUCCCUUCUAAAUGAGGAGCAGGGACACUCCAGCAGCCAGAUACAUCGAUGGACAACAUAGUUGGGCCCACUAGCUCCAAACAAGCCACCAAGCUUAGACACUGAAACCAGACUGACAGGCCCAGUCCAGACCCACAACGAUAUGGCCAGGGAGACAUAAUGAAACCAGACUGACAGGCCCAGUCCAGACCCACAACGAUACAGCCGGUGACAUAAUGAAACCAGACUGACAGGCCCAGUCCAGAACCACAACGAUAUGGCCAGGGAGACAUAAUGAAACCAGACUGACAGGCCCAGUCCAGAACCACAACGAUACGGCCGGUAACAUAAUGAAACCAGACUGACAGGCCCAGUCCAGAACCACAACGAUACGGCCGGUAACAUAAUGAAACCAGACUGACAGGCCCAGUCCAGAACCACAACGACGGUGUCAUAAUGAAAGCACCAACAUAUCCGUAUCAAACAGGAGAGAUUCCAGUGUAAAUAGAUGUAGUGUCUGUGACGAUAGUCCAGGGUUAUGGACCAGCAGCCCCAGCCAGGCUCAGCAACACUAAACCCUCAGAACAAACAGCAGACCACAGUCGUAACCUAACUGGAGAGAGCAAAGUGGCCACAUUCUUAUCAUGCUCUGGUCAAUUCAGCCCUUCUGCACAUUCCUGUGCUGCUAUGGGGAAAGGAGUGGCACGUGGCCAGGGUAUUAGUGGGAAGUGGGGACAGACGGGACAGGCAGGCCUGGGCAUUAGGGCUUUAGUGGGGACAGACAGGACAGCCAGGCCAGGGCAUUAGGGCUUUAGUGGGGACAGACAGGCCAGGCAGGCCAAGGUAUUAGUGGGAAGUGGGGACAGACAGGACAGGCAGGCUUGGGCAUUAGGGAUUUAAUGGGGACAGGCAGGCUUGGGCAUUAGGGAUUUAAUGGGGACAGCCAGGCCAGGGCAUUAGGGCUUUAGUGGGGACAGACAUGCCAGGGCAUUAGGGCUUUAGUGGGGACAGACAUGCCAGGGCAUUAGUGGGGACAGACAGGAUAGGCAGGCCAGGGCAUUAGUGGAAAGUGGGGACAGUCAGGACAGCCAGGCCAUUAGGGCUUUAGUGGGGACAGACAGGACAGCCAGGCCAAGGCAUUAGGGCUUUAGUGGGGACAGACAGGACAGCCAGGCCAAGGCAUUAGGGCUUUAGUGGGGACAGACAGGCCAGGCAGGCCAGGGCAUUAGUGGAAAGUGGGGACAGUCAGGACAGCCAGGCCAUUCGGGCUUUAGUGGGGACAGACAGGAUAGGCAGGCCAGGGCAUUAGUGGAAAGUGGGGACAGACAGGACAGCCAGGCCAUUAGGGAUUUAGUGGGGACAGACAGGCCAGGGCAUUAGUGGAAAGUGGGGACAGUCGGGACAGCCAGGCCAUUAGGGAUUUAGUGGGGACAGACAGGCCAGGCAGGCCAGGGCAUUAGUGGAAAGUGGGGACAGUCAGGACAGCCAGGCCAUUAGGGAUUUAGUGGGGACAGCCAGGACAGGCAGGAAAACCUGUUUGGGAUAGGGGGCAGCAUUUUCACUUUCAGAUGAAAAGCCCAGAGUAAACUGCCUAAGGCUUCCACUAGAUGUCAACAGUCUUUAGAACCUUGUUUCAGGCUUCUACUGUGAGGUGGGAGAGAAUUUUCUCUAUUUCUGCUUUUUGUGACUCCUCUCUUUGGCUGGAAAAAUGGCUGUGUUUUUUUUGUGACCUAACAAUCACAUGGUGUGCUUUCACUGUAAAGCCUUUUUCAAAAUCAGACACGAUGGGUAGAUUAACAAGAAGUUAAGAUUUUAUUUGGUGUAUUGCACUUGUGAAUGUAUGCAAGUGAAAUAUUUCCAAAAAAUAUUUUUGAAUUUCGCGCUCUGCCUUUUCAGCGGAUAUUGUCGAGCCUAGCCCUAAAGAAGAUAACAGUAGACUGACUGAUGUGGUCUAGGGAUGGAGUUGAUCAGUCCCUCUCAGCUCCACUACUCACUGACCAAGUGUGGAGCAAGGCCAGCUACCAGGCGCUCCGGGUUAACCCAGCUACCAGGCGCUCCGGGUUAACCCAGCUACCAGGCGCUCCGGGUUAACCCAGCUACCAGGCGCUCCGGGUUAACCCAGCUACAGGUGGACUCCAUUCAAAUUGUAGAAACAUCUCAAGGAUGAUCAAUGGAGAACAGGAUGCACCGGAGCUCAAUUGAGUCUCAUAGCAAAGGGUCUGAAAACAAUUACUGAAGGACGUGGACACCUGCCAAGUAGUCUAUCGCUUGUUACUGAAGGACGUGGACACCUGCCAAGUGGUCUAUCGCUUGUUACUGAAG